ensembl:lncRNA TMC3-AS1 TMC3 antisense RNA 1
GGGCGGGCCGGGUAAGGUCCAGCCGUAUCCGCCUCCUUCAUGUCCCGCUGUGGGAGGGGCUCUGGAGCGCCGGGACUGUGAGAUGGCCAAUGACGGUCUGACCCGUUGGGCCGGGCCAGGUCGCGGACAACGUCGACCGUUUGUUUAAGAAGCGUGGACUCUUGUCCUGAGUGCACCGAGGCUUUCAGCCUGCGGGACAGUGGUGCGAUUUGCAUUAGAGAAAGGGAGAUGCCAUGUGCUGGCCCAGCACUCCAACAGGGGCCUGACCUCUAGGAACGGGACACUGGAGGAAGCCUAGACAUCUGAACAAAUCAAGUCAUCCAGAUCCACGGUCAGCUCCUGCCCCGACUUGGCCUUCCUCCUGCUGGGCUGGCCCACGGACCUCGGGAACCUGCCCUGGCUGUGGGUGACCUGCAGGUCUCAGAACUGUGGCCCAUUCACCCCUUCCCUCAAGACAAGAGUGUGGCCAAGCAUCAAUCUCACCCCCAGAGACCAGACGGUGUCCAGGUCUUGGGCAGACGAAACCUGCUCCUUGGGGAUGGUCUUCCUGGCUGUGCUUCCAAAGGGCUGGCCUGCAAUCAGCUGGUUUUCACUUGAUCCUUUCGGGGUUUGCAUUAUAUCUGACUGAAGGAAUGAACUGGGAGAGAACAGCAGAGCCGCAGCGGAAUGUGGAAAGGCCCACGUCCAGACUGUUCCCAUUCUGAGGAAAGGUCCUGUGAGGGUACAGUGAGAAGAUGGCCAUCUACCAGCCAGGAGGAAAGGCCUAACAAGAAACCAACUCUGCUGGCACCUUGAUCGUGAACUCCCGCCCUCUAGAACUGUGAGAAAAUAAACGUCUGUUUAAGCCACCUGGUCUGUGGUAUUUUGUUAUGGAAGCCCGAGCAGACCAAUAUGCCUACUAAGUAAGUACAAGUUCUAGAUAUCCAAGUGUUUUCUUUAUGUCAUCUCCUCGACAAAUUAAAUAUUUCAAUGUCCACAUUCUCAGAAAGAAAAGGAGUCAGUGUUUUAAUGGAUCCUGUUUAAUCUUUACUUCCCUGUAUCCUUAUUUCCGUGAAUGUGACUUCACAAAUGGAGUCAUCCUAUAUCCUACUCCCAAGGCACAAUCUGCUAAAAGCAAGAAAAAGGCUUUGCGCUGCUAAUUCACCCUUUUCUGCUCAGCAUUUGGCUCUAAACUGUAACCUGAGACCCUGAAAUUGCUGAGGCCCUUAACCUCUCCUUACUCCUUUGACUCAGAAUGAUCUCAGCGGGACAGUUCCUGGAGUUUCCGUUCAUGUUUCAGAACAUGACGGAGACCAAGAAAAUAAAACGUUGAUUCCCGAUGCCAUGUGGCUCAGGGUUUAGACAAUGUAUUCUGGUCACAGAAAAUUGAGACCAAAUCUGUUUUCUUGCAUCUGUUCCAUUGCCCUCUGUGACAUUAAUUCUCAACAGCAGAUUCAACGUGCUGGAACUAACCAAUGUUAGAGUGCUUAAGAAGUCAGGUUCAACUGAGCUCGGGUCACUGUGCUAGAACUAUGGUUACCAAAACUGAAGUAUGUAUUUACUCUUCAAUUCCUAUUUCAGCUGUGAAACUGUGAGUUUUAAUUAGAGAGUAAAGAGUUUGUCUCCUUAGCUUCAUGUUAGAAAGCAAAAUGAAAAAAAUUGUCUAAAACCCUUAAAAAAUAGUCCAAACCUGGGAUAAUUCUUCUCCGCUAUUCAUGAAAAUAUAUGACCUAUUUUAGGCAGGUAAAACAGAGGCAAAAUUAAAUUGAGACAUUUGAAACCAUGGAAUAAUCUAACAACACGCUUUUUUUAAUUCAUUCACAAAUGACAUGUCAAGUUCCUAAUAUUUAUAAUGAACUGCUUUAGGCAUGAGACAAUGAAAUAGUGUAUAAAGUAUUGCAAAUAAACUCAUAUAUGUAAAAUUGUUUUAAAAAUUUUAGUGUUAUGGAAAUAUAGCACUGUUGUAUUAAAUAAUAACCUAUUCUAUAAUCUAUUUUUCUUGGCUUUAGAAAGAAACAGCUCUUAUAUGUUGAAGUUUGCUAGUAACUAAUAUUCGUAACUAUAGUCUAAAACCAUAUUAUGUCACGAUAACAUGUAA